UACGGAGGGUGCGAGCGUUGUCCGGAAUCAUUGGGCGUAAAGGGCGCGUAGGUGGCCCGGUAAGCGUGCGGUGAAAUCCCCCGGGCUUAACCUGGGAACUGCAUUUGUGACUGCAUGGCUGGAGUGUGGCAGAGGGGGAUGGAAUUCCGCGUGUAGCAGUGAAAUGCGUAGAUAUGCGGAGGAACACCGAUGGCGAAGGCAAUCCCCUGGGCCUGCACUGACGCUCAUGCACGAAAGCGUGGGGAGCAACAGG
rnacentral:rRNA from 1 species